ACAAAAUAAUGAGAUUCUAUUUAAUUGGUCCAUGUUUCUGAAACAAAUGAUACUUGUGGAAAUUCGGAUUUU
ensembl:snoRNA SNORD18 Small nucleolar RNA SNORD18